AUUAUAGUGUACUGCUCUUAAGUAAUUAAAAAAAAAUCAACUCGUGGAAGUACGUUCUUACUGCAGAUGCAAAAUAAUUGGCCUUAUUUUAUCACUCCAGAUUUCAGAGAAAACCAAGUCCUGCACUGUGCCUGGAGGCCUGGCUGCAGUGCGGAAACAGUUUGAGAAAGGGCAGAUGACCUCCUCAAAGAUCACCUUUGCUCACUCCCAGCACCAGCACAAAUCUGCACAGGAGACCUCAAGAACCACUCAGCCCCCAGUAUCAAGCAGCACCAGGGAAGCUGAAUGCACUGGAAUGACUUCCAAAGAAAGCCCAGUGGAAGCCUUUCAAACACAAGAGGUAACUUUGUCAAUUAAGAAUUAUUUCAUUCAGCAGGUAUACUGAGAUGCCGAUCCUUAUCUGCUUUGCCUCUCACUCCAGCACUACUUGGUACAGCAAGAUUUUCAUGUUCUGCUGAUCGCCGCCCUCAUUUGGCAAUGCAUAACAAUGGUUUUUGAUUGGCAUCCUACACAGUGUUGUUUAAAUGUGAUAAUGAAUGGGGUUUCCCGUUCAUAGUUCUCUGUGAUGUUUUAAAGACAGUGGCAGAAAUAUGGAAUAUUCUUACAUGUUGCACUAAAUCCCACAGUAAAGUGAAAGUUUUGUGCACAGGUUUCUUGUGAGGAGCAAGUUACUUCGGAGACAAAUGGGGCUUCUACAUUGAUGCAGCACGCUGAUGAAACAGGUAAGUAAGUGACUUGAGAGUAAAGGCUCACAAAGGAGCACAACGAACCAAGUUCUUGGCAGCUGUCUUUACUCCCACAAAAGUGAGACUGCUCUUAGGAUACAGAUACUGGACAUUGCUCCAAGUUGUUCAGUGCCUCCCUCCUCAGCUAAGCACAUUCAUAGAUCUCAAUGGGACUUAAGAAAAGGUUUACAUGUUGGUACACAGAGAGGAGGUUGGGAUAAGAAGGUGGCUUCAAAUAUGUGUGGAGCUGCUGGAAAGAACUGGGCAUUUUAAGAGUUGUCUGAAAACACACGCAAACGCUUGCCCCUGUAUAGACAAAAUUGUGGAUGAUAAAGGCUCAAUUUAUAGCCAAGUGGAAUAGGCCUGGAGACCAUGAGCACGGUGUUGCGGCGCUGCUUCUGCAGUUUAGUCCUGGUAUUAGAAUUCACACGUUUGGUUAAUUCAAAGACCUCAAUGAACUCUGAGCCUGGGCUAUUCAGAUAUGGCAAAACAGCAGGCAAUGUGUCCCUCAACAAUUCUUCUGUUCUUUUUUCUAUGGAU
rnacentral:lncRNA from 1 species